GUCAUUAUUACCACCAUUCCCAAAAUGGUGGGUUAGCGCGCUUAAUUGUUCACUGCACCCGCCAAGAGGCGGGUUUU
rnacentral:sRNA from 1 species